GUCUACGUCCAUGCCACCCUGAACGUGCCCGAUCUCGUCUGAUCUCGGUAGCUAAGCAAGGUCAGGCCUGUUUAGUACUUGGAUGGGAGACCACCUAGGAAUACUAGGUACUGUAGGCA
rnacentral:rRNA from 1 species